GCCCUCGUAGUUCAAGCGGAUAGAAUAGGGGAUUCCUAAUCCUCUGAUCUGGGUUCGAGUCCCGGCGAGGGUA
rnacentral:tRNA from 2 species